rnacentral:lncRNA from 1 species
UAGGCUUGGUCUGUUUGGAUAAGGAUCUAAUUUAGGUUUGUGGAAUCAUCUUAAUGAGACACAAUGUCCUCCGUUGAAAGGUGUCUAAAUUUAGCCAUGCACAUAAUAAACCUAGUCUCUAUAAUUGGGUAGGAUAACUUGAUGGAAAAUUGUCGCUCAGAUUUAGAUUAAAUGUAAAGGUAAGCAAUCCAAAAGUCACACGCGACUUACUAUGUCACCAUGGAUACGCCAAAGCGAAAACACGAGAAAAAUCAGGGAAGUAGCAAACACAGGGACUUAAUUUGUGAUGUGAAACAGGUCACCCAGGAUGACUCAGAACACCUGUGUUCUUGCUUUUUUUUUUUUUUUUUUUUUUCCUUUUCCCAAAAGAUUUUGGAAAUGCUGUUUCCUGGUGAGAAUACUGCACUGAGUGUGCAUUUACGUGGUUCUUGUGUAUCGCCGCCCAAGAUCUUCCGAUUCGGCAUCUGCUUUGUAGCCAGAGACUCCAGCGAGUCAUACGUGCCCUCGAAGCAGACACAUGCCACCUUAGUACCUGCUGGAUGCCCAGUAAGGACUGACUGAACUCGGCUGAACUGAUGUUACGUUUGACGUCCCCAGGAGAAGACUCGUCUGUGUCAACUGUCCUCACUGGAAAUAGCUGCUGAGGCAGAAGCAUCUAGCAUCAAGUAAUCUUCACAAAUAUCAUCUGUAAUCCAUGAGACUUGCCACUGUUCCUAAGGACGAUUGUUAACCAUGGUGUUACUGAUCCAGUGGAAAGUACAUUUUAUAGAAACUUACCAGGGGUAUUUUGCGACACUGAAAUUUGAUGUCUAUUGUCUCAAUGUGGAAUGUUAAACCCAGCGAUUGGUGCUGAUGAGCGAAUGUGAACCAAUGAGCCAUCAGAGAUGAGACCCAACAGUCGCCAAAUCGCUUGUUGAGGAGAAAUUAGCAAAUGGAUCAAAUGAGGAAUGAGGUCAACCAAGAAUCACAGUGCUGUUCAUUUCAGACAUGGGAGCAGAAGACAAGAUUUCAGACUCAUACACACGGCGACCCCAUGCCCGACUUCAAAAAAACAGUGAUUCAUCCAGACACCAAAGCUCAGCAGCUCAGAGUCAACCUCAAAUAUAGUCAAAGCUCACCAAGUGCUCUCCCAAGAAAAAUAGAACAUAAGUGCCAGAUGACCUGCGGUAAAGACUCUUCUUCCAAAGAGUGGCUGGACUGUCCUGAUUUCAUCGCACCUACAUUAGCGUGUCAACAGGCCCUUGCAAUUCCCAACGAUCCCACUGGGCUGCUUUAUCAUUGA